rnacentral:misc_RNA from 1 species
AUUCAAAAUUGUGAACGCUUAUAGACCCUUUACAUGUUUUGAGUUUCUAUAGAAUGGUGUUCAUAUUCCACGUACCAUUAGGUACCAAAAUCCUAUCAAAUAUUCCCUUUUUUGUCAGAUAACUUGUGUGUGUGCUAUGUGGGCAACAAUAUUACAAGAUUUAAUGAUUAUAUAGAUACUUUAUUUAACUUUAACAACUUGUAAUAUGAAAUUGAAUUACUUAAGGAAGGUGGGUCUCCGCUGUGGAGUAGUGCCCAUUAAUCCCGUCCAAUUUCUACGCCGUAUUGCCAAAAAGUUUUAAUGGUUUGCUGGAGCGAGAAUUAUAUGGACAGAACCGAAAACCAAAGUUGCCUGGGUUUUCGGUUCUAGACCUGUGAAAAAUUAUCUAUCUGAACUCAUUUGAAUAUAUUCUAAAAACAAAAAAAAACAUUUAUAUGAUUGGCACGCUAUUUUCGAACUCGCAUACCUUGGAAAAGCCAAAAUUAUCAGCUCCAAAUGAAUCGUAUUUCAUCCUUCGCGUCGCCAGGCGAGUGAUGUCUUCAAUGGAGACCCCUUCAAAAUUCACUCGUACAACUUUCGCUAUGCCGACAAG